GCACUACAGUAAUACAAACAAUUAAUGAUAAUUGAACUCAGUAUUAAUGAAAGCACAGUGUAUAAGCAUCACUGGAGCUCCUUUAUUUAGAGUACAGUACUGAAGGAAUUCUUCAAACCUGCAGUGCCAGCUGCAGCCUCACGGGGGUGCUGACUAGUUGAGUGAGCACUUCUCAGAUGGAAAUCACUAAGGCCUGGUCUACACUAGCCUGUUAUUUCAGAAUUAGCUGAGUUAAUUUGGGGAAAAAAAAAAAUGAUUCCGUCCACACGACCAAACCGUUUUUUUCGAUUUAAAAGGCUCUUUAAUCUGAUUCCUGUACUCCAACCGGCAAGUGGAGUAGCGCUUAAAUCGCGAUCGCAAUCCUGGGUUAAAGGUAUUGUGGACACAAUUUGACGUUAUUGGCCUCCAGGAACUAUCCCAGAAUGCUCCCUUGUGACUGCUCUGGACAACACUCUCAACUCCGAUGCACUAGCCAGGUGGGCAGGAAAAGCCCCAGGAACUUUUGAAUUUCAUUUCCUGUUUGGUCACCAUCAGCACACUCCACCAUCACAGGUGACCAUGCAGAGUCCACCAUCACAGGAGAUCACGCAGUCCUGGAUUCGCCGACGAGCUCCAGCAUGGUCCGAAUGGGAGGUACUGGAUCUCAUCACAUGUUGGGGAGACAAGUCUGUUGUGGCAGAACUACGUUCCAAAAAAAGGAAUGCAAAUACACACGCUAAAGUCUCCAGGGCCAUGACGGAAAGAGGCUACUCCAGGGACACAGAGCAGUGUCGUACAAAAAUCAAGGAGCUCAGGCAAGCGUACCAAAAAGCCAGGGAGGCGAAUGGCCAUCUGGGUCACAGCCCCAUACAUUCCGCUUCUACCGUGAGCUGCAUGCAAUUGUAGGGGGUGAUGCCACCACUACUCCACCACUGUCCAUGGACACCUGCAAGGGGGGAGUUAUACAGAGCGAGGAGGAAGAGUCGUUGGAGGAUGAAGAGGAGGAGGAGGACAGUGCACAGGCGGCAAGUGGGGAAUCCGCUUUCUCCCCUAGCCAGGAACUAUUCUGAACGCUGGAUCCAAUAGCCUCCCCCCACUCAGACUCCCAGACCAUGACCCUGGAGAAAAUACUUCUGGUGCAAAUGUUUCAACGCAGCCCCUAUCUAGUCCGUCCCAGAGGCUGGUCCAGAUUAGAAGGUGGAAAAAACGAACUUGGGAUGACAUUUUCGCCGAGCUCAUGCAGUCCUCCCGCACUGAUGGGGCCCGCUGAAUGCGUGGAGGCAAACAGUUAUGGAGUCCCGUAAAGCAUUACAGGAACAGGAAGAGCGGAGGGAGACGUGUGAUGAGAGCAGGCAGGACGCUAUGGUCAAGCUCAUAGGGGAGCAAACUGACAUGCUCCGCUGUAUGGUGGAUCUAAUGUGGGAAAGGCAGCAAGACCGCAGACUGCCGCUGCAGCCGCUGUAUAACCGCCCUCCCUCCUCCCCAAGUUCCAUAACCGCCUCACCCAGAUGCCCAGGAACAUGAGGGGGGAGGCUAUGGGGACCCACACACUCAACCCCAGAGGAUCGCCCAAGCAGCAGAAGGCUGGCAUAUGCGAACUUUUGAUUUGGUUUCUUAACUUGUCCUUCUCUCCUCCUCCACCCCCCUAACCCAACCCCCCUACCCCCAUUCUGCCUUCGGGUUUCUCUCAAUGUGCUGUGCAACAAAUAAUAAAGAACAGUUUUUAAACAA